AAACAACACCUCACAAAAAAAGCGAAAGUAAAAGAAGAAAUAGAGACGCCAUUUCGUGGCUCUGAACCUGUUAACACUGGGUAAAUAAAAUACUUCUUAUUUUACUGGAUUUUUCACAGAUUACUCCAUCAGCUUUCCACAAUAUCAGCCCUUCCAAAAGCUUCCACAUCUCUCCCUCUCUCGUGUGCAGAUCUGCUCUCAGUCCUUUACUGCAAACUUCCAAUAUUAGCAUGUAUACUUGUAUUAAUUCCUCCUGUACAGUUAACACUCCCGUCUCUACUGUGAGCACUGCACUCCUGUCACCUGAACCCGGCGAACCGAGCUGUGACCGAGCCUCGCUGGUGACGUCACUGCCGCUGAUGCUGCGUGGUAUUUGGACGCAUCUGCUCUCCACUGAAGUUAAUGGGGAGGAUUGGCAUGUCAUAUGCACGCAAAAGUGGACUUUGGCGUAUGUAUUACACGCAAUUUGAAAGUGUAAACUCAUGUUAUUUAUACGCAGAUUGAUGAGACCGGGUUGGCAUAUCAGCUUCAUUAGGGUCACCACAAAAAGAACAGCUUGUAUCUAUAUCUGAUUUGAACCUUUUCAAAAACAUUUUAUUUGGGUCAAAUCUGUGUAACAAUUUGAAUGAGAUGUCUUUAACCUUAUUAGUUAUUAUGUAUUUCGAAGACAGAGUCCAGACUUUUUUUCCAAUCAAUAUGAUCAACAACAUUCUUCCAAUAAGAUACCACAUAUGGAGUUAUUACAAGCUCCUUUUGAAAAAGCGAUGUAAUAUUAUAGUUACGUGAUGAAGGAUAUUGUCACGUGUGGUGUCUUCACGGCGCGAGGAGACAAAGGAGAUAAAACUUAAUUCUCUUUAAUGAGGAAUAAGCGUUCAGGAAUAACGGAAAUAACAUUAAAUGACGAUAUUACACUUCAACUUGACAUAACAUAACUUUAAGACUCGACAAAGGAGAAAACCAAACUGAAUGCUUAUAAAGGGAACAGGAACAAAAGAGCAAACAACAUAAUCAAAAUCAGGUGGGGACAAUCAAACGAUAAUGAACUAAUGAGGACAGGAACUAAACCAAAUAAGGGAAACGAGGGGGGGUGGGCGCCCUGGAUGCCGGAGCAGGACGGAGACCAAGACACAGAGGAGGCAUCCAGGGUGGGUCAGGGGAUUCCGGCGGCCUUGGCGGAGUAGCCAUAGUGGCCCUGGCUAAAGUCCGGAACAAGGCCACUAUGGCUAACAGGAGGACGGGUAUAUAGCCCCCCCCCAAAAUUUUGUUGAGAAAGUUAGGGGACAUUAGUCUUUGUUUGGAUUCUCGAGGGCGCUCGGACAGCGCGGACUCUUGGGGGCGCCUUCGUGGCGCAGGCACUGGGGUGCGCUCUUGCAGCACGGGCUCUGGGCGGCGCUCUUGCAGCGCGGAUUUUAGGGGGCGCUCUUGCAGCGCUGAGACAGGGAGGCGCCUUCGUGGCGCAGGCACUGGGGUGCGCUCUUGCAGCGUGGAGACAGGGAGGCGCCUUCUUGGCGCAGGUACUGGGGUGCGCUCUUGCAGCGUGGAGACAGAGAGGCGCCUUCUUGGCGCAGGCACAGGGGUGCGCUCUGGCAACGCGGAUUCUAAG